AUGCUUACUUGCCAUUCUGUGACCAUUUGUGUGGUUGAAACUUUGUUCACACGGCUGCUGGUGGAACAUCAGAGUGUCAAGAAUGUAAGUACGUUGUAUGGAGCACACCUUUUGCACACCUUUUUCCAGAUGAUGCAGAGAUGCUGUUUGAUUGCUCCCGGUACAGAGCUGGUAACUGCAUCUUCCAGAGAAAUAAAAGUCCAAGCAAUUAAUGAAGUAUGCAUGGAGGCAGUGGUAAAAGACCAAAUGUAG
rnacentral:lncRNA from 1 species